rnacentral:rRNA from 1 species
CCUACGGGUGGCAGCAGUGAGGAAUAUUGGUCAAUGGGCGCGAGCCUGAACCAGCCAAGUAGCGUGAAGGAUGAAUGCCCUACGGGUUGUAAACGUCUUUUAUAAAGGAAUAAAGUGAGGCACGUGUGCCGUUUUGUAUGUACGUUAUGAAUAAGAAUCGGAUAACUCCGUGCAAGAAGCCGCGGUAAUACGGAGGAUCCGAGCGUUAUACGGAUUGAUUGGGUUUAAAGGGAGCGUAGUUGGGUUGUUAAGUCAGUUGUGAAAGUUUGCGGCUCCACCGUACAAUUGCACUUGAUACUUGCAGUCUUGAGUCCAGUUGAGCUAGGCGGAUUUCGUGGUGUAGCGGUGAACUGCUUAGCUCUCACGCAGAACUCCGCUUUCGAAUGCCGCUUACUACACUGCCACUGACAUUGAUGCUC